AGCGACCCUGCCCUAGGAACCAGCGUGGGGUUGCGCUACUGUCCAAUGAAUGCAUAGUGAGGGCAGUACUGCUAACGCCUGACAACACACCUGCAUUGGUUAGAGCUCUGCUCCACCUUGGUGCAACUUUUGGAAAA